rnacentral:rRNA from 1 species
UAAUUAAGUGGAGGAAAGAAAACUAACUAGGAUUGGUUCAGUAACGGCGAGUGAACAACCAUUAGCCCAUCAUGUGAAUUGGCUCAAAAGCCGAGUUGUGAUAUGUCGGUCAUUGUUUUGUGUUGGGAUCGAGUUCCCUGGAAUGGGACGGCAUAGAGGGUGAGACCCCCAUACAUCCCUGAACUUGCAAAUGAACCAAAGAGUCGAGUUGUUUGGGAUUGCAGCUCCAAAAUGGUGGUAAAUUCCAUCAAAGGCUAAAUAUUAGUGAGAGACCAAUAGCGCAAAAGUACCGUGAGGGAAUGAUGCAAAGUCGCGCGAGAGCGCUGUCAAAGAGUACUUGAAAUUGCUGAAAAGGAAACAAAGAAAACUAGUGCAAGCAUAUCUGCAUUUCUCUACCUGUCUUCAGGUGGAGCACUGUAGUAAGCAAUGUACCUAUUUGUAUUGUCUGAUACAACUCUGGGUUAUCGGAUGAUACAUAUAUGUACAAAAUAGUUUUCUCUAUCCCG